CCUACGGGGGUCAGCAGUAGGGAAUCUUCCACAAUGGGCGAAAGCCUGAUGGAGCAACGCCGCGUGGGUGAAGAAGGUCUUCGGAUCGUAAAACCCUGUUGUUAGAGAAGAAAGUGCGUGAGAGUAACUGUUCACGUUUCGACGGUAUCUAACCAGAAAGCCACGGCUAACUACGUGCCAGCAGCCGCGGUAAUACGUAGGUGGCAAGCGUUAUCCGGAUUUAUUUGGCGUAAAGGGAACGCAGGCGGUCUUUUAAGUCUGAUGUGAAAGCCUUCGGCUUAACCGGAGUAGUGCAUUGGAAACUGGGAGACUUGAGUGCAGAAGAGGAGAGUGGAACUCCAUGUGUAGCGGUGAAAUGCGUAGAUAUAUGGAAGAACACCAGUGGCGAAAGCGGCUCUCUGGUCUGUAACUGACGCUGAGGUUCGAAAGCGUGGGUAGCAAACAGGAUUAGAUACCCGUGUAGUC
rnacentral:rRNA from 1 species